rnacentral:rRNA from 1 species
CGGCCGCAGUACUCUGACUGUGCAAAGGUAGCAUAAUCAAUUGACUUUUAAUUGGAGUCUAGUAUGAAUGGAUUUACGUAAAAGUUCUGUCUCAAUUAAAAUUUUCUAAAAUUUUUUAGAAGGUGAAAAAACUUUCAGUAUUUAAAAGACGAGAAGACCCUAAGAAUUUUAAAAAAAUUAGUCUAUCUUUUUUGCUGGGGCGGCAGUGGAUCAAGGAACAUCCAUAUUAUCGAGUUUUCGUGUUUUAAAUUACCUUAGGGAUAACAGCACAAUUGUGACCUCGAUGUUGGACUACNAA